CACACACACACACUCCUCACACAGACACACACACCUCACACAGUCACACACGCACACACACACACACUCACCAGUGUCUUCAGUCUGUCAUUUUCUCUUGACGAAGCUCAGAUGUCAUUCAAACAGGGCAGAUUUCUGCAUUAAAGAAAGAGAUUCUAGAAAAUGAAAUUUAGUUAAUCUGUGUUUUUGAUGGAUUUUUUGAAGUGUUGCAUUUGUUACAUUAAGAGUUACAGAAGCAGAUAAACAGCUGGAGAACAGCAGAAUAACACAUGAAAUAAAGCACUAAAAAGGCCUGCAAGCUUGGUAAAAUGACUAGAAUGCAUUUUGGGAGUAUUGGAAGAACUGAAGCAGAACUUAGUAAAGCAUUUGGCUUGAUUUCCACUGUGUUGGCAUUUCCCCCUUAAUGUUUAAUUAUGAAAAAUCCCUAAUCACUUUCAGUGUUUUUGAGCUUUUCUGAAUCUGUUCCCGAAGCAGAAGAAGAGCCGGGGAACAGCAUCAACAUAAACAGUCCCUUCGUUUAUCCUUCUCAUGUUCAGCCCCAGAAAACUGUUGAUGGUUCAGCGUGCUGUGUGUUCUUUGCCUUUAUUGAGCAGACGGGAGCGGGACGUUAGUGCAGUGCGACAGGUCUGAGAUCAGAUGCAGGUCACUGUAGAUUUACUGAAAGAAGCGCAUUAUCAUUCCUCACAGCUAGUGAUGAUACAUCUGUGUAACACUUUAUUUUAAGGUGUCCUAAAUGUGUUGUAGAAGGGACACUAUCUGCACGUGGAUCAGCACUAAACCGUGGGAAUGUGUCCAGGGCAGAUGUGUGAGUGAUUACACACCCCAACAAUCCUCUUAUGCCAGUAUAAUCCUAUAAUCAGCCGCUGCCAUGUUUCGCUGUCACAGCACUAGCACUUGAUUUUAUUCUUAUUGUCUCGCAGAAGUAGGCUUUCAGAUCAACCGCAGUCGUUCCUGCUGCAAACCCUGAAUGAGGAGCUGGAUGAGAGCAGACUGAUCUCGCUGAGAGCAGCAGGGGGCAGCAGACGCUCGAGAGCCUCACUGCAGAACAUACGUGUGUGAAGAACAUGAAGAACAUGAUCACUGACACUAAUAUCAAGAGCUCCAGGAUUUCACCGGGGCCUUUGGACUCAUGUUUUCUGACUUCUGGGUCUGUUUGAGCUUCUCUUGGUCUGUUCCUGAAGCGCUAGGAGUCACUCAGAGCCUCAGAAGUGAGCAGUGUUCAGCAGAGCUGCAGGUUUAGGACGGCUCGUUCUUCACUGGUCACUGAAGAGCUCCUUCAUCUGUCUCUAAUGCAGCCGGAUCGCUCACAUGUGUUGCGUUCGUUCUGCUUCACUGCUUAACACGAGGAGCGAGCCGCAGCCAGAAGCACUGACGCCAGUGUUUCCCAGAAGUCUGUGCGUCUGUCUCUCAUGUUCUGGGUCAGUAAAUAGAGAGGUGGAAUCAUCCCGGUCCCACCCAAGACCUGCUGUUUCUCAUGCCCUGCUGCCC